AUAUAGUCCAUCCCUAUGUUGGUAUCUAAGGUGUCCUGCCCUACACAGUCCAUCCCUAUGUUGGUAUCUAAGGUGUCAUGCUCUAUGUUGGUAUCUAAGGUGUCCUGUUUAGUAUAUUUACCUGUUAGUGUAUGGUACAGUAUAAUACAGGGUAUUUACAAUUGGCUCAUUCAUCCCCCUCCUCCUCUCCCCUGUAACUAUUCCCCAGGUUGAGGCUGUAAAUGAGAAUGUGUUCUCAGUCAACAUACCUGGUAAAAUAACAGUAAAAUAAAAUAAAAAUGUACCUGUCCUCCAGACAGAGGGGUGAAUGUGAGUUGUCCACCUGUAUCACCACCAGUCCUCUGUCCUGUGAGAGUUGGAAGGUGAAUCCAUACCGCCCAUCUUUCCCACGGCUCUCCUGGACAACCAGUAGCAUGGCAGGACACUGGGGAGUGACCAGUUGGCCCAGGGUAGAACACUUCCUCUGGUGAGACUGGGACUGGAGGGAUCUCUCCUGGAAAUACAGAACACGGGCGGACAGACAGACAGACAGGCGGACAGAUGCACGUGAACUCAGGUGUCUGUAUUUUGCCUCUUAAAUAUCAUCUAUAACUAGCAGCACCAUAUCACCAGAUAACAUUCUGAGUAUGUUGUCUAUCAGCACCAUAUCACCAGGUAACAUUCUGAGUAUGUUGUCUAACAGCACCAUAUCACCAGGUAACAUUCUGAGUAUGUUGUCUAGCAGCACCAUAUCACCAGGUAACAAUCUGAGUAUGUUGUCUAUCACUAGCAGCACCAUAUAUCCAGGCAACAUUCUGAGUAUGUUGUCUAGCAGCACCAUAUCACCAGGUAACAUUCUGAGUAUGUUGUCUAUCAG
rnacentral:lncRNA from 13 species